rnacentral:rRNA from 1 species
CCUACGGGAGGCAGCAGUAAGGAAUAUUGGUCAAUGGGCGCAAGCCUGAACCAGCCAUGCCGCGUGCAGGAAGACGGCCCUAUGGGUUGUAAACUGCUUUUGAACAAGAGAAAACCUCGGUACGUGUACCGAGCUGAUAGUAUUGUUAGAAUAAGCAUCGGCUAACUUCGUGCCAGCAGCCGCGGUAAGACGAAGGAUGCAAGCGUUAUCCGGAUUCAUUGGGUUUAAAGGGUGCGUAGGCGGCCUGAUAAGUCAGUGGUGAAAUCUCUCAGCUUAACUGAGAAACUGCCAUUGAUACUGUCGGGCUUGAGUACAGAUGAUGUGGGCGGAAUAUGACAUGUAGUGGUGAAAUACUUAGAUAUGUCAUAGAACACCGAUUGCGAAGGCAGCUCACAAAACUGUAACUGACGCUGAGGCACGAAAGUGCGGGGAUCAAACAGGAUUAGAUACCCUGGUAGUCCGCACCGUAAACGAUGAUUACUCGUUGUUGGCAAUAUGACCGUCAGCGACCAAGCGAAAGCGAUAAGAAUCCACCUGGGGAGUACGCCGGCAACGGUGAAACUCAAAUGAAUUGACGGCGNGAGAGNGCGAGACGACGACGAGGGAGAGG